rnacentral:ncRNA from 1 species
GGUCAAGCGACUAAGCGUAUACGGUGGAUGCCUUGGCAGUCAGAGGCGAUGAAGGACGUGGCAGCCUGCGAAAAGUGUCGGGGAGCUGGCAACAAGCUUUGAUCCGGCAAUGUCCGAAUGGGGAAACCCACCUCGCAAGAGGUAUCGUGCGGUGAAUACAUAGCCGUACGAAGCGAACCCGGGGAACUGAAAUAUCUAAGUACCCGGAGGAAAAGAAAUCAACCGAGAUUCCCUCAGUAGCGACGAGCGAACGGGGACUAGCCCAAAAGCACACAAUGUUCUAGCCAAACGGUCUGGAAAGGCCGGCCACAGAGGGUGAUAGCCCCGUCGGCGAAAGGGCAUCGUGUGUGAAAUUGAGUAGGGCGGGGCACGAGAAACCCUGUCUGAACAUGGGGGGACCAUCCUCCAAGGCUAAAUACUACUGACUGACCGAUAGCGAACUAGUACCGUGAGGGAAAGGCGAAAAGAACCCCGGAGAGGGGAGUGAAAUAGACCCUGAAACCGUAUACGUACAAGCAGUGGAAGCCCGCAAGGGUGACUGCGUACCUUUUGUAUAAUGGGUCAGCGACUUACUGUCAGUGGCGAGCUUAACCGUCUAGGGGAGGCGAAGGGAAACCGAGUCUGAAUAGGGCGCAUAGUCUCUGGCAGUAGACCCGAAACCGAGUGAUCUAUCCUUGGCCAGGUUGAAGGUGCGGUAACACGCACUGGAGGACCGAACCCACAUCUGUUGCAAUAGAUGGGGAUGAGCUGAGGAUAGGAGUGAAAGGCUAAACAAACUCGGAGAUAGCUGGUUCUCCUCGAAAGCUAUUUAGGUAGCGCCUCGGACGAAUCUUCCUGGGGGUAGAGCACUGUUAUGGCUAGCGGG